GACGCGGGGCCCCCCAGAAAGCUGCCAGGGUGGAAGAGGCUGCUGCUGUAGUCGUGGGCUGCCGGCACGUAGGAGGGGGUUAAAACCCACCCGUGUCUGGCUGUCUGUCCUGUUUUCGAUCUCCUUUUCCCCGGCUCCGACACACCGAAGCGGCCCCGAGUGAAACUUCUCACCCCCGCUCAGGACACCCGCGGCUCGUACGGAGGGGCCCGGAGCGCUGCCGAGACGGCGGGGAAGGGCCCGGGGUGCUGAUUUACCGUGUGCCUGGCUGUAGGACACCCUGGCCCGGGCAUGGGCGGAAUUGGCGUAGUAAGGGUUGCCCUGGGAGUCCAGGUGGUUGAAGAAGACGUCGACUUCAUCCGGAGGUUAUAUCGGGAGCAGCUGUUGUAGGAGGGAGGCCGACCCCUCAGGUUUGAUUUGUUUCUCCUCAGGCAAAACUUUGCUGGGGAUGGACCGACCCAGCACGGAGAACGGGACUCGAUUCACGCCCGGCAGCGGCGGUGCCCAGCGGCCGCCUGUCCCUGCGAGCCGCGGGGCUGAGCCAGGCCGGAGCUUAUUAGACUUCCGAGGAGAAACUAUUUGUGUUUUAAUAAAGAUGCUCCGUGCGCCGGGGAAGAACAAUCCCCGCACCCGAAACUCGCACCCCCUUAGUGAAAUCGCUUUUCUUAUUGAAAUCGCACCAAAUCCAGGCAGGCUUCGCUCCCGGACGCUUCUCUUUUUUUAUAUUUUUUUUUUUCCUUGCCUUCCAGCCUGAGCACCCCAAAGCAAAAGGAGGAUAAAGAGGGGAACUUAGCACAUACAAAAACAGAAGAAAAAAAAAAAAAAAAAGGCGAAGGGGUGAAAGAGUCGGCGAAGAGGAGCGGCCGUGUCCCCGAUGUGCCUGGCCUUUCGGGCUAUGCACCUGCACGUAAGUGAGGCAGCGGAGAAGCUGGAAGAGGCACAAGCAGAUAUUACGUGACGAGUCGUUAUAGCUAGGAAAGAGACGGAAGAGGGAGACGCUGUCGGCAGCCGCGUCCUGGGAUCGCCCCGCACGGAACGACUCCAAAACGAGGAACUGUCGCUCAGGCGGAAAAACUACGGGGAAAGUGGGGUUUGAAGGCUGCAGAUUUUUCCCCAAGCGGGGUCAGACGGGGGUAUGCGAGCCGGGGGCUCAGGGGGAUGAGAGCGGAGCAGUGCCCGCCCGAGCCUCACCGCGCUGUGCCGGCUCUCCAGCCGCGCUGUCCCGGGACAGCCGGGGUCACUUCUCCACGUGCCACCAGAGACACUGGGGGCCGGAGGGGCAGGGAGUCAGCAUUUUCCCCUCAUGCCUGCUGGAAGAGAAGGAUGUUUUUCUUUCCUGUUAAGCUUUCGUGCUAAAGAUGUCAUCUGAAAGUCUGGGAGGAAGGGGGGACCGUGCUCUGCUCUCUUUCACGGUAACAACCAUAUUCUGCAUAUUGAAAAAUAUGAUAGACAGUGAAGGAAAAUUUUCUUCCCCAUUAAAAAAAAAAAAAAAAAAAAAAAAAAAAAAAAAAAAAAGGAAGGAAAAAAAAA